GCGAGGAUUGCCGAGCCAGGUCAAAGGCGAUAGGUUCAGGGCCUAUUCGCGCAGGCGUUCGCCGGUUCGAAUCCGGCUCCUCGCA
rnacentral:tRNA from 2 species